rnacentral:rRNA from 1 species
UGGGGAAUAUUGGACAAUGGGCGGAAGCCUGAUCCAGCCAUGCCGCGUGUGUGAAGAAGGCCUUUUGGUUGUAAAGCACUUUAAGUGGGGAGGAAAAGCUUAUGGUUAAUACCCAUAAGCCCUGACGUUACCCACAGAAUAAGCACCGGCUAACUCUGUGCCAGCAGCCGCGGUAAUACAGAGGGUGCAAGCGUUAAUCGGAAUUACUGGGCGUAAAGCGCGCGUAGGUGGUUAUUUAAGUCAGAUGUGAAAGCCCCGGGCUUGACCUGGGAACUGCAUCUGAUACUGGAUAACUAGAGUAGGUGAGAGGGGAGUAGAAUUCCAGGUGUAGCGGUGAAAUGCGUAGAGAUCUGGAGGAAUACCGAUGGCGAAGGCAGCUCCCUGGCAUCAUACUGACACUGAGGUGCGAAAGCGUGGGUAGCAAACAGGAUUAGAUACCCUGGUAGUCCACGCCGUAAACGAUGUCUACCAGUCGUUGGGUCUUUUAAAGACUUAGUGACGCAGUUAACGCAAUAAGUAGACCGCCUGGGGAGUACGGCCGCAAGGUUA